ACCGCUCAGUAACACGUGGAUAACCUACCCUGAAGCGGGGCAUAAUCUCGGAAAACUGAGGAUAAUACCCCAUAGGUCUUCGAUACUGGAAUGUUCCUAGGCUGAAAGCUACGGCGCUUCAGGAUGGGUCUGCGGCCUAUCAGGUUGCAGUGAGUGUAAUGGACUCACUAGCCGACGACGGGUACGGGCCAUGGGAGUGGUAGCCCGGAGAUGGAUUCUGAGACACGAAUCCAGGCCCUACGGGGCGCAGCAGGCGCGAAAACUUCGCAAUGCGCGAGAGCGCGACGAGGGGAUUCCAAGUGCAUGCACUCAGUGCAUGCUGUUUUCCAGUGUAAACAGCUGGGAGAGUAAGGGCUGGGUAAGACUGGUGCCAGCCGCCGCGGUAAUACCAGCGGCCCCUAGUGGUGAUCGUUAUUAUUGGGCCUAA
rnacentral:rRNA from 1 species